rnacentral:rRNA from 1 species
UACAGAGGUCUCAAGCGUUGUUCGGAUUCAUUGGGCGUAAAGGGUGCGUAGGUGGCGCGCUAAGUCGGGUGUGAAAUUUCGGAGCUUAACUCCGAAACUGCAUUCGAUACUGGCGUGCUUGAGGACUGGAGAGGAGACUGGAAUUCAUGGUGUAGCAGUGAAAUGCGUAGAUAUGCGGAGGAACACCGAUGGCGAAGGCAAUCCCCUGGGCCUGCACUGACGCUCAUGCACGAAAGCGUGGGGAGCAAACAGG